GUGGGGAAUCUUCCGCAAUGGACGAAAGUCUGACGGAGCAACGCCGCGUGAACGAUGACGGCCUUCGGGUUGUAAAGUUCUGUUAUACGGGACGAAUGGUACGACGGUCAAUACCCGUCGUAAGUGACGGUACCGUAAGAGAAAGCCACGGCUAACUACGUGCCAGCAGCCGCGGUAAUACGUAGGUGGCAAGCGUUGUCCGGAAUUAUUGGGCGUAAAGGGCGCGCAGGCGGCGUCGUAAGUCGGUCUUAAAAGUGCGGGGCUUAACCCCGUGAGGGGACCGAAACUGCGAUGCUAGAGUAUCGGAGAGGAAAGCGGAAUUCCUAGUGUAGCGGUGAAAUGCGUAGAGAUUUGGAAGAACACCAAUGGCGAAGGCGACUUUCUGGACGAUGUCUGACGCUGAGGCGCGAAAGCUAGGGGAGCGAACGGGAUUAGAAACCCGGGUAGUCC
rnacentral:rRNA from 1 species